rnacentral:rRNA from 1 species
ACUCAAAUGAAUUGACGGGGGCCCGCACAAGCAGUGGAGUAUGUGGUUUAAUUCGAAGCAACGCGAAGAACCUUACCAGGGCUUGACAUAUACAGAAAAGCUAGAGAAAUCUAGUGUCUUUUCGGAGGCUGUAUACAGGUGGUGCAUGGUUGUCGUCAGCUCGUGUCGUGAGAUGUUGGGUUAAGUCCCGCAACGAGCGCAACCCCUAUUGUUAGUUGCCAGCAUGUAAAGAUGGGAACUCUAGCAAGACUGCCGGUGAGAAAUCGGAGGAAGGUGGGGACGACGUCAAAUCAUCAUGCCCUAUAUGUCCUGGGCUACACACGUACUACAAUGGGUGUAACAGAAAGCAGCGAGAUAGUGAUAUUAAGCGAAACUUUAAAAAGCACCCUCAGUUCGGAUUGAAGGCUGAAAUUCGCCUUCAUGAAGUAGGAAUUGCUAGUAAUGGCAGGUCAGCAUACUGCCGUGAAUACGUUCCCGGGCCUUGUACACACCGCCCGU